UACUCGUCUAGUGCGCGUCGACACGGACACGGGUCGCGUACGUUUAUACUACCGCGGACGGCGUGCACUUCUCUCUCAGUAUAUCUAUUUGCAUCGCGACCCGUUCGAUGUCGGUCUAAGCGCCGUUCGGGAGCCCCGCGGUCUGCGUUCGCGCGCAGUCUGCGGGACCGCGACGGUCGCCGACCGGCCGUCGGACGGUACACCGUAUAGAGGAAUCGCGCACGCGUUUCAAACGCGUCCGGCCCGACGCAAGGCGAUGCGUCGUCAUCGAGAUCCUGCCGUUAAGUGCGGAUAUCGGUGCGACGCGCCUGUCGUCGCCGCCGUGUAGUCUCGGACUGUGCGCGUCUCCGUCUGCGA
rnacentral:rRNA from 1 species